rnacentral:rRNA from 1 species
CAAAAACAUCGCCUCCUGCAAAAAUCAAUGUAUAAGAGGUCCUACCUGCCCAGUGACUUAGUUAAACGGCCGCGGUAUUUUGACCGUGCAAAGGUAGCGCAAUCACUUGUCUUUUAAAUAAAGACCUGUAUGAAUGGUGAAACGAGGGCUUAACUGUCUCCCCUUUCUGAUCAGUGAAAUUGAUCUACCCGUGCAGAAGCGGGUAUAAAAAUGCAAGACGAGAAGACCCUAUGGAGCUUUAGACAUAAAGUCAUCUAUGUCAAAAAUCCCAGAUACGGGAGCAAAACAAAAUAGCAAUUGACUAAUGUCUUCGGUUGGGGCGACCACGGGGAAAAAUAGAUCCCCCACGUGGAGUGGAAAAUUUUCCUAGAACCGCGAGGUACACCUCUAAGUCACAGUAUUUCUGACCAAGAGAUCCGGCCUUUUGGCCGAUCAACGAACCAAGUUACCCUAGGGAUAACAGCGCAAUCCCCUUUGAGAGUCCUUAUCGACAAGGGGGUUUACGACCUCGAUGUUGGAUCAGGACAUCCUAAUGGUGCAGCCGCUAUUAAGGGUUCGUUUGUUCAACGAUUAAAGUCCUACGUGAUCUGAG